UACGAAGGGGGCUAGCGUUGCUCGGAAUUACUGGGCGUAAAGGGCUUGUAGGUGGCCAACUAAGUCACACGUGAAAUCCCCAGGCUUAACCUGGGAACUGCGUGUGAUACUGGAUGGCUUGAAUCCGGGAGAGGGAUGCGGAAUUCCAGGUGUAGCGGUGAAAUGCGUAGAUAUCUGGAGGAACACCGGUGGCGAAGGCGGCAUCCUGGACCGGUAUUGACACUGAAAAGCGAAAGCCAGGGGAGCAAACGGG
rnacentral:rRNA from 1 species